rnacentral:rRNA from 1 species
CACGUAGGGGGCAAGCGUUGUCCGGAUUUAUUGGGCGUAAAGAGCUCGUAGGUGGUUCGGUAAGUCGGGUGUUAAACCCCCAGGCUCAACCUGGGGACGCCACUCGAUACUGCUGUGACUAGAGUCCGGUAGGGGAGCGUGGAAUUCCUGGUGUAGCGGUGAAAUGCGCAGAUAUCAGGAGGAACACCAGCGGCGAAGGCGGCGCUCUGGGCCGGAACUGACGCUGAGGAGCGAAAGCGUGGGGAGCGAACAGG